ensembl:lncRNA
CUUGUGGUCGAGGACGCCAAGGUUGCGUAGGAUCUGCGCAUUCACCACGCUGGAAAUAACAACGUGAUGCAGCUGGUUGGCUGUCUUCCUGGCUCAACAGAACAACGUGAUGCAGCUGGUUGGGUGUCUUCCUGGUCCAACAGAACAACAUGAUGCAGCUGGUUGGGUGUCUUCCUGGUCCAACAGAACAACGUGAUGCAGCUGGUUGGGUGUCUUCCUGGCCCAACAGAACAACAUGAUGCAGCUGGUUGGGUGUCUUCCUGGCCCAACAGAACAACGUGAUGCAGCUGGUUGGGUGUCUUCCUGGCCCAACAGAACAACGUGAUGCAGCUGGUUGGGUGUCUUCCUGGUCCAACAGAACAACAUGAUGCAGCUGGUUGGGUGUCUUCCUGGCCCAACAGAACAACGUGAUGCAGCUGGUUGGGUGUCUUCCUGGCCCAACAGAACAACAUGAUGCAGCUGGUUGGGUGUCUUCCUGGCCCAACAGAACAACGUGAUGCAGCUGGUUGGCUGUCUUCCUGGUCCAACAGAACAACAUGAUGCAGCUGGUUGGGUGUCUUCCUGGCCCAACAGAACAACGUGAUGCAGCUGGUUGGGUGUCUUCCUGGUCCAACAGAACAACAUGAUGCAGCUGGUUGGGUGUCUUCCUGGCCCAACAGAACAACGUGAUGCAGCUGGUUGGGUGUCUUCCUGGCCCAACAGAACAACAUGAUGCAGCUGGUUGGGUGUCUUCCUGGCCCAACAGAACAACAUGAUGCAGCUGGUUGGGUGUCUUCCUGGCCCAACAGAACAACAUGAUGCAGCUGGUUGGGUGUCUUCCUGGCCCAACAGAACAACAUGAUACAGCUGGUGAGGGGAAAGGAAAAGAGAGGGACAAAAACAUAUUCAUGCUGGAAAACAAAUCCCAUAAAAUCUUCUAGGAUGUUACUUUGUGUGAGGUCUUCCUAACCUAUAUAUUCCUCUAUGACCUUGGCAGUACAGUAUAAUGGUGCAUACACGAG